UCUGAAACUAACUACUGGCAAGG
rnacentral:piRNA from 1 species